GGAGGGUGCAAGCGUUAAUCAGAAUUACUGGGCGUAAAGCGUGCGUAGGCGGUUUGUUAAGUCAGAUGUGAAAGCCCCGGGCUUAACCUGGGAACUGCAUUUGAUACUGGCAAACUAGAAUGUGGUAGAGGGAAGUGGAAUUCCUCAUGUAGCGGUGAAAUGCGUAGAUAUGAGGAGGAACACCAGUGGCGAAGGCGACUUCCUGGACCAACAUUGACGCUGAGGUACGAAAGCGUGGGUAGCAAACAGGGAUUAGAUACCCUGGUAGUCCACGCCGUAAACGAUGUCUACUAGCCCGUUGGGGGGGCUUGUCCCCUUUAGUGGCGCAGCUAACGCGAUAAGUAGACCGCCUGGGGAGUACGGUCGCAAGAUUA
rnacentral:rRNA from 1 species